AAAACUGAGGAGAUAAAAUGACACACCAGGCAGGUGAAAAUAAAGGUUUAAUGGUAUCGCUUUGGAUUACAACCAGCAAAGCACCACAUAGGUACAGUGAAAUAACGGUGUACUCUUCUGCUAAACUUCACGUUUUUAUCUGCUGGAGUGGGAUGACGAGCUGAAUCAAUCACACACUGUUUAUUGAACGACGCAUAUUUUUCUCUUUGAUUGGACAACCACAGUCACAAUUCUGAAGCAGAGAUGUCGCAUCAUGACAGUAAGUAACAGUUUACAAUAAACAUGCUUUAUUAAUUCAUGACUAGUCCACACUUUGCUUAGAAAGUAAACGUGAAUUAAACCAUGCUGGAUUUAAUAUCGACGGAAGUUCGGCCAGUAUUAUCGAUGUUUGUUAAUAAAAAACCUAAGGUGUGUUUUUUAAUGAACGAAAAGGACUCACAUGCAGUUAAAGCAAACUUUGUCUUGUGAAAGAUCAGUUGUUAUUUUUGUUUAUUUUAAGUAGUAUUCUGAUUUGUUUUUAAUCUGUUAAUUCAGCUUGUACACUCUUUCCAAAUAAAAAACGCAUAUAUUAAAAAUAUACAGUAUGUGUAUUACAUCAGCAAUGAAAGGAUGAUCUGUUCAUUAAAGCUAAUACAAUUCCUAACGUUAAUACAACACAUAUUAAUAAUAAUAAUACUAGUAAUAAUAACAUAGAAUUGUUGAAACAGUGCAUUUUGAUUGAUCAUUUCAGGACACGUCCUUUAAAUGUUUUUAAAAGGUACCACAUUCUACCUGGUAGUUGACAUUGCUGUCAAUUAAAGGAUUUUUACAUUGCUAUCAUCUAAUGUAGCUUAGAAAAUUAAACAUAAAUCGACUAUGCAAAACAAAGUGAUUUACUCAUUGGAUAAACU
ensembl:processed_transcript